UACGUAGGGGCUAGCGUUAUCCGGAAUUACUGGGCGUGAAGGGUGCGUAGGUGGUUUCUUAAGUCAGAGGUGAAAGGCUACGGCUCAACCGUAGUAAGCCUUUGAAACUGGGAAACUUGAGUGCAGGAGAGGAGAGUGGAAUUCCUAGUGUAGCGGUGAAAUGCGUAGAUAUCCGGAGGAACACCAGUGGCGAAAGCGGCCUUCUAGACCAUUUCUGACGCUAAGACGCGAAAGCUAGGGUAGCAAACGGGAUUAGAUACCCUGGUAGUCCCUGAGCGGGCU
rnacentral:rRNA from 1 species